GUGUGAAGCUUUACAAAUUUUAAAAACCAAGGCAAGAAGACACUAUCAGGUAUAUCAUUCACCUUUUUAUAUCUUCAUGUAAUGACUAAUUUUUUGUACUUCUCUAAAAUAUACAUUUGAAAGAUUGCCCUUUGUAAAUAUUACAAAACCAAAUAAUUUUACGUGUAGUGCUAAAAAUGACUUUGAGAGUACUUCGCCGUAGUAAUUCCCAUGGAGCAAUUGUCGUGCACUGAGAAACAACCACACUGUCACACCAAUAAUGCCAUACGCUGCAGCUCGAACCACGCAACACAACAAUCCUGAAAAGCAUGAUUGAUAAGAAUUAUAGGUUGUUUCUACAUGCAGCCAACAUCUCUUAUUUAGUGCAUACAUUGUUUUGUUUACGACAUUGUGCAUAAAGUACCUUUCAAAUAUUUGAUACUAUAUUGCUAAAAGAAUAUCAAAUGCAGAAAUGAAGGGACAGUAUACGUCAAAAUCAGCAGGCCCACUUGCAAAAGAAGCUAAAGAAGCUAUUAUCAGGAGGAAACAACAACUACAAGAAAAAAGGAGUAAGAGAUGCAGGAAUACACAGGAAACAACCAAUAAAAUAGAAGAAGGUGCUUCACGGAAGAGAAAGGAACAAAUCAAUGAAAUAAGAGAUGUCAAGCGUUCAAGGAGAAAUGGGAGGGACAAUGACCUUCAAAGCAACAUCAUAGAAACAAGCAGCAGCACUACGUCCAGAAGUUAUGAUAGCACGAUAUGGAACUUUGGAAAGCCAACAUAUAGAUGCGAACAUUGCAAUGCAAUACUAUGGUGUGAGGAAAGAUUAAAUUCUCAUAAAGGAACCAAAAAACCUUCUUUCGGAAUUUGCUGUAAACAAGGUAAGAUUGACCUACCAAAGAUAGCAUAUCCUCCACCUUAUCUCGCAGGACUAUUAACAGGUGAAGGAAGUGAUGCAACAAACUUCAAAGAAAACAUCAGGUCAUACAACUCAAUGUUCUCAUUCACAUCAAUGGGAGGAGCUGUUGACAAAGAAAUAAACAAAGGCAAAGGACCAUAUGUUUUUAGACUGCAUGGCCAGAACUACCACCAUAUCGGAAGUCUACUACCUGAAGAAGGUAACAAACCUCGAUUCGCCCAGCUAUACAUCUAUCAGACAGAAAAUGAGGUUCAAAACAGGAUAGAUGCUUCAAGAUGCAAUGAUAAAAAAUCAACGGUGAACACUGCCAUUGUCGAAAAACUACAAAAUAUGCUUGAUGAGAACAACAUCCUCGCGAAAUCUUUCAGAAUGGCAAGAGAUAGAUUCAAAGAAGAAGACUACCACGAUUACACACUUCGGAUACUUGGGAAAAGGAACGGAACACACAACCUUCCAUCUGCAUCGGAAGUUGCAGCAUUGGUUGUAAGAGAUCCAACUGGAGAGAGUGAAGGACGAGACAUCGUUGUCGAGUACAAAAAUAUGGAACCUCACAGAAUAUCAGAAAUCCAUCCAAAGUUCAUGUCGAUGCAAUACCCGAUGUUGUUUCCAUACGGAGAAGACGGCUUCAAGCUUGAAAUACCUUACAAGCGAAGAAAAGAAGGUGACAAAAGCAGGAAAUAUGUAACUAUGCUGGACUACUACGCAUACUACCUACAGCAAAGACCUGACCAAGGAAUGUCACUGCUAACGUCUAGACAUCUAUCGCUGCAAUUUUGGGUAGAUGUUUACACAUGCAUUGAGCAAAACAGACUAAACUGGAUCAGGAAUAAUCAAGGGAAGUUACGAACUGAACUUUAUAGUGGACUGCAAGACGCGAUUGAGCGAGGGGACACCAGAACAGAGCAGGUUGGAAAGAUGAUAAUUGUACCUUCAUCUUUUACAGGAGGCAGAAGAUACAAGGCACAGAACUUGCAAGACGCUUUUGCAAUAUGCCGUUGGGCUGGAUAUCCAGACCUGUUUAUAACAUUCACAUGCAAUGCAAAGUGGCCCGAGAUCCAAUACAUGCUAGAUGAAGCAGGAGGAGGCCUAAUCCAGCCGACCGGCCAGAUAUUGUUGAUCGAGUAUUCAUGAUAAAACUGAAGGAGUUGAUGAGAGACAUCGUUGUGAAGAAACACUUUGGAGAAACGAUAGCAAGUAAGAUCAGUCGACUACUCAUCGCAACUAAUAGCAUCUAAAUUUUUAAUAGUUUUAGCACACUAUAGCCUUUGUCUAUUUAAUAAAAUGCUUCUGAAAUGUAACAAAACCAAACUAUGUAUUCAAUCAAUGCAGUUAUCUACGCGAUAGAGUUCCAGAAGAGGGGACUCCCGCAUGCGCACAUACUGGUAUUCCUCAAAGAGAAUUACAAGUGCAAAGGACCAUCAGAAAUUGACCAAAUAAUCAGUGUGGAGAUCCCAGACAAAGAUGUCGAUCCGGACGGAUAUGCAGCUGUUGAGAAUUUCAUGAUGCACGGGCCUUGCGGAGAGGCAAAUACAAAAUCGCCAUGCAUGAUGGAGAACAGAUGUAGUAAACACUUCCCAAAAGGAUACAAUGUCGAUAGCACAAUCGAUGAGGAUGGCUUUCCAGUAUAUAGAAGGCGAGACAAUGGAAGGAAGAUUAAAAAGGGAGGAGCAAUGCUCGACAACAGAUUUGUCGUGCCAUACAACAGAAACCUUUUGGUCAAAUUCCAAGCUCACAUAAAUGUCGAGUGGUGCAACAGGUCCAGGUCAAUCAAGUACCUAUUUAAGUACAUCCAUAAAGACGACGACCAAGUAACAGCCUUACUAAAGGAAAGGGAUGCGGCAAACGAUUAUGAUGAAAUCAGGAAAUACCUAGAGAUGAGAUACAUAUCAACAACCGAAGCAUGCUGGCGGAUAUUCCAGUUUGAUCUUCACCAUCGUGAUCCACCCGUCGAGAGACUGCCAUUCCACAUUGAAAAUGAGCAACAAGUCAUUUUUCCGGACUCGACUGACAUCGAGAAGAUAGUAAGAAGACCAGGAUCCACAAGUACAAAGUUCACUGAGUGGAUGGAGGCAAACAAAAUACAUGAGGUGGGAAAAGAAUUAACCUAUGCAGAAUUCCCAUCAAAAUUUGUAUGGAAAAGUGAAAGCAAAACUUGGGAGGAGCGGAAAAGGGGCUUUGCGAUUGGAAGAAUCUACUAUGCACACCCUGCAAGUGGCGACCGGUAUUAUAUGAGAAUGCUUCUAAACACCAAGAAAGGAUGCACAUCAUUUGAGGAUAUUAGAACAGUUAAUGGAGUUGUUCACCCAACAUACAAAUCAGCAUGCCAAGCGCUUGGAUUUCUUGAUGACGAUGCUGAGUGGAUUGAAUGCAUCAAUGAAGCAUCAAGCUGGGGAUCAGGGACACAGUUACGACAACUAUUCACCACAAUUUUAUGCCAUUGUGAGGUGACCAGCCCAAAGAUGUUGUGGGAUUCAACAUGGGAGGCACUGUCUGAAGAUAUCCAGUACAAAAGAAGAAUUAUCCUAAACUUUCCUACGCUGCAGCUUACUGAUUCACAGAAAAAAGCAUAUGCUUUGAUUGAGAUAGAGAAACUAAUGAGGCAAGCAGGAAAGACACUAAAGGACUAUUCAGACAUAGAACUACCAAAUGCUAUAGAACUUGAACAACUUGGAAACAGGAUGAUAAACGAAGAACUCAGCUAUGACAUGGAGGCACUAAAGAGUGAGCACCAAAUAAUAAUAAACAAUCUUAACCACGACCAGAAAAUGGCUUUUGAUGCAAUAAUGGAAUCAGCUGAGAGAGGACUUGGAAAACAGAUAUUUGUAGAAGGCUAUGGUGGCACAGGGAAAACCUAUCUAUGGAAAGCAAUUACAACGAAGCUACAAUCAGAGGGAAAGAUAGUGCUUGCGGUAGCAUCAUCUGGCAUUGCAGCUUUGCUGCUCCAAGGUGGAAGAACAGCGCACUCAAGAUUCCACAUUCCAAUAAAUAUCACAGAAGAAUCAACAUGUGAAAUAAAACAAGGCUCACAUUUGGCUGAACUGGUAAAGAAGACCUCACUGAUACUGUGGGACGAGGCUCCUAUGGCAAACAAAAACUGCUUUGAGGCACUAGACAAAAGCCUUAGGGAUAUUCUAAGGUUCACAAACCAAAAUAGUGACGAAAGGCCAUUUGGUGGUAUGACAGUUGUGCUAGGAGGCGACUUCAGACAAAUACUUCCAGUGAUAACAAAGGGAAAGAGAGAGCACAUAGUAAAUGCCUCAAUCAAAAGGUCAUACCUAUGGAAGGACUUUCAAAUAUUUAGACUAACUGAAAACAUGCGGCUGAAGUGCCUGUCAGAAGAUCCAAUACAAAGGCAAAAUGUGGCUGAAUUUGCAGAAUGGAUAUUACAAAUUGGCGAUGGAAAAAAAACAAACGAUGAUGGAGAUGAUUGGGUAAGAAUACCUAAAGACAUAAUUCUACAUAAAGGAGAAGACCCCAAAGAAGAGAUAGUCAAAAGCACGUACCCAAACUUGCAACAAAACUAUCGUGACCGUGAAUUUCUCGAAGAAAGAGCAAUACUAUGCCCAAGGAAUGAAACAGUUGAGAAGAUAAAUGACUACAUAAUGAGCCAAAUACAAGGUGAAGAGGUGACAUACCUAAGCUUGGACACUAUAUGCAAGGCAACAAUGAAGUACAACACAAUGGAGAAUAUGUGUCCAACGGAGUUCCUUAACAAGAUGACCUUCCCAGGAAUUCCAAACCACGAGCUUAAACUGAAGGUAGGUUUGCCGGUGAUGCUCCUACGAAACAUCAAUCAAGCGGCAGGUUUAUGCAAUGGCACAAGAAUGACUAUCACACAGCUGGAAACAGGUACAUUGAAGCACAAAUAAUCACAGGAACACACGUUGGUGACAAGGUAUACAUACCUAAAAUCAUUAUGUCACCAAGCGACUCGAAGUGGCCCUUCGUGCUGAAAAGAAGGCAAUAUCCUCUAUCAGUUUGUUUUGCAAUGACGAUAAAUAAAAGUCAAGGUCAAUCCCUAAACAAGGUGGGCCUAUAUUUGCCUAAGCAAGUCUUCUGCCAUGGACAACUAUAUGUGGCAUUAUCAAGAGUCACAAACAGAGAAGGAUUAAAGGUGCUGAUCGACGACAAUGAGUGCCCAAGCGAAGAUAGCGCAAAGAAUAUAGUAUACAAAGAGAUCUUCUAAUUCUUUGUUAUUCAAACAAAUGCAUACGAGGGCCAAAUAAUAAUGAUUAUAAACAAUACAAUGUAUGGUUCAAAAGCGUGACAUCCAUAUGUUUGAUAUAUGGUCGGAAACACUGUAUACAAAAAGAUGUUAUAGAUUGGAUUUCUUAUUAAUUCGUAAGCAACAAAUAAGAACAUGACAAUGCAUAGUACUAUUGCCAUACACUUAUUUCAUGCAUAGAGAGUGUGUACAUGUAGCCUACUUUCCACAUGGCCAAAAGUUUUAAAAUCUUAUUACAAAUUAAGAAUAAUAACCACUCUGAUAAACAUGAUUCUCAGAAAUCUCAUUAGACGACAAGAUUUUAUAAGAUUUUAUUAGAUUGCAUUUGUGUGUGUUCAGCAUAUAGCACUGCCUCUACGUGGUAAUUAAGACGCAACGUAAAUCACUGAACUUGAAAACUUAACCUGCAGCUACACGAAUACAUGUCUCACAUUAAGCUCAUGUUUUGCUACAUAGCUCAGUGAAAGUGCAUGUAAACCUCCUUUUUUUACUGUCAAACAAUAAUUAGAUGCAAGGGUCUCUUGCCAAGUUUAGUUAGACUCUAUUCAAGCAGAUCCAUAUGUUUGCUUUACUGUGUUCUCUACUGCAGAAUUCAGAGAACAAGUAUAAUUGCACUUCUCCGCACAGAAAGUUAUGGUAUGAUUUCUGAUUUCACACAAAAAGUUGUUUCGCAAUGGAAAGAUAAAAUCUUAUCUGUUUUCUACAUCAUUCAACUUUACAAAAACUUAUAUGGUUGCAAUAUAACUUAUAUUUGGUAGAAGUACGGACAGCAGGAGGGCGACACCUGAUACGCACCACAUGUCCAGGUCUCGGCAAAAAAUGGCCACCAGCAUGAUAUCCUCCAAGCUUUGGCCAUGGAUGGGCAAGCGAAUUAAUCUGAUACGCCAUAUUCACUACAGAUUGGGUACAUCAUCUCCCAAUGGACGAGCAAGAAACUCAAAUUUGGGCCAACGGCCUCCAUUUCUUUUUUCCCUUAAGGACGAAGGAAAGAAGGAACUGUGUUUUCCCCCUGUACUAAAAACUAAGAAGGAGAGGCGUACUUCCAUUCAGAAAAAAAUUGGUUAAUGAAAUUAUGAUGAACAUUAUUCAAAGCAAGAGGCGAGUGGGAGAGCACAAAGGGAUUCAUACCUGUGAGCACAUCCGCAGCCUAAGACGAUAGGAACCACACACAGAAGAUGGCCCCUGAACCCAACGCCACAUCUAAAUGUCCCAGCGCCAAUGGACUGCAUAGCCAAAAGUGAGAUGUCGCAUCGCUGGUGAACCACGC
rnacentral:lncRNA from 1 species